UACGGGGGGGGCAAGCGUUGUUCGGAAUUACUGGGCGUAAAGGGUUCGUAGGUGGCUUGCUAAGUCAGACGUGAAAUCCCUCAGCUUAACUCCGAAACUGCAUUCGAUACUGCCGUGCUUGAGGACUGGAGAGGAGACUGGAAUUUACGGUGUAGCGGUGAAAUGCGUAGAUAUCGUAAGGAAGACCAGUGGCGAAGGCGGGUCUCUGGACAGUUCCUGACGCUGAGGCACGAAGGUCAGGGGAGCAAACGGG
rnacentral:rRNA from 1 species